GACGAACGCUGGCGGCGUGCUUAACACAUGCAAGUCGAGCGGUAAGGCCCUUUCGGGGGUACACGAGCGGCGAACGGGUGAGUAACACGUGGGUGACCUGCCCUCAGCUCUGGGAUAAGCCUGGGAAACUGGGUCUAAUACUGGAUAUGACUCCACGGUGCAUGUCGUGGGGUGGAAAGCCUUGUGCGGCUGAGGAUGGGCCCGCGGCCUAUCAGCUUGUUGGUGGGGUGAGGCCUACCAAGGCGACGACGGGUAGCCGGCCUGAGAGGGCGACCGGCCACACUGGGACUGAGACACGGCCCAGACUCCUACGGGAGGGCAGCAGUGGGGAAUCUUGCGCAAUGGGCGAAAGCCUGACGCAGCGACGCCGCGUGAGGGAUGACGGCCU
rnacentral:rRNA from 1 species